CCCUUUUCUAUUUCCAGCAGGACACACCUGGCAAUGGAUGUGACAUUCAGCACUGCCCAGGUUUCUUCCACUUGGAGGAGGCAACCUGGUGAAUGGAAGGAGGCAAUCCUCUGGCAGUGGGAUGCUAGGGAGCAAUAAUAAGGCAAGUUGGCUUGCUUGAAGGCUGCUGGUAUCUGUGAUUAGAAGGUGGCAGACGUCUCAUGAUGGACCUAACAGUAGCUUCUGGACAGCUUUCCAGGUCAUGUGGCCAGCAGGACUAAACCACUUCUGGAGCAAUGGAACACCGUGACGGAAACCAGAGCGCAUGGAAAUGCCGUUUCCCUUCCCGCCACAGUGGUACCUAUUUAUCUACUUGCACUGGCUUGCUUUCCAACUGCUAGGUUGGCAGGAGCUGGGACAGAGCAACGGGAGCUCACCCUGUUGCGGGGAUUCAAACCUCCGACCUUCCGAUUGGCAAGCCCAAGAGGUUCAGUCGUUUAGACCACAGUGCCACCCGCAUCCUGUGCCAAAAGUUUGCAGGAAAAUGGGAUGCUCAUGAAUAAUAAAUAUCAAGAUGAAGGUCUACCAGAUCACUGCAAAUGUCUGCAAAUUUGACAUGAAGGCUGUCAGGUUGUGUAUCCAUCGCAGUGAUCAGAGGAAAAAUUACUGCUGGGAGGAGAACAGAGAGAAGAAAUGCAAUAGUGCAUCUGCAGCAGGACAACCAGACGUCUUUAUCUGCCCCAGCUGCAACUAAACAUCUCUCCCCCAUAUUGGUCUCUACAGCCACAGAAGAUGCUGCAACCUUCCAACAGUCUGACUUCACCCCAAAGAUUCACUUCCUCAUUGUCUCUCGACGCUGAUAGAUGCCAACAAGAAGAUCUUGGAAAAGAGGAGGUGGGGAUCUGUCAAUCUCACUCUAUUCAGGGGUCACCAAUGUGAAUCCUAUGGGCACUCAUAUGCCUGCAGAGGCCUUCCUUUGAACCUGAAAAAUCUUCCCAUGGCUCAAGUUUGAUCUGAAGGAAGAAUUCUGUUGUAGCCAACAGAAUAAGUUGUGGUGUGUGUUUCAUUGUGGAGAACUAUAAUAUCGAGUUCAUCACUUUGUGAAUGCUACUGAUGUGGCCUACAAAACAGAAGGAAGCCAUGCUUAAAUGGAACACACAUUCUUCUAGUCAAUGUAGUGUGUUUUUUCAUUCAAUUUACAGAUGCGGGAAAUGCAAAAACCAAUUUGAGAGCCACUUGUGAAAAUAGCAUAAAUGUUUAUAGAUCUAAUUCACAUUUCACAACCUAUAAAAAGAGCUGCAUAACUACCUCUGAGAUAUUAAAGGCUUUCUACCCUUUGCGAUAUGUUUCUGGCAAAACACAGCAAUAAGUAUAUUGAUUUCUGGCUUUCCGAGUUGAGACCUAAUGAUGAAUUCUGAUUAGACUCCGUGAUUAUGUUUAUUGCUGUUGUCUAGGGGAAACAGAAAGAAGAGAAAGUUUGCUGAAGGAUUCUAAGGACAAUGCCUUGAUUGCCACUUUUAUGAGGGUGCUUCUAAUUUGAUUGGUUUUCCCUUUAAUUUUAAUGAAGAAAAUGUAACUAUCUGUGACCGAAUUGAUCAUUAGGCACCCACAUACUGGUAGUGUAUCAUUAAGAUAUUCUAAUUACAUUUUACAUUGUGAAGACAGGUUACUCUAAAGCAAGAGUGGGCAAUCUUUUUUCUUUCAGGGCCCCAUUUUCUUCAAGUCAACGGCUGCAAGCCAGUAGUGGCUGGGGUCGGAGCCAGCAGGUAGAAGCACAAUUGGGCAGUGUUCACACUUCCAUUUUCUGUGCACUCCCUGUGUUUCUGGGUUUUUAAGCUGUGUUCAUACAACGUGUCAGGGAACUGACAUCGGAGCGAGAGGCGAAGGGGAGGCUCCUAGAUGAUGCUGGCGAAGGACCCAGCAGCAGGGGGAGAAACAGCUCAGUAGAGGGGGAAACAAAUCAGCACAACACCAGGGAUAAAGGGGGGCAGAUGGGGGAAUCGGAGAGAGGGCUCCAGGACUCUUCACUGGACCUCAGUGAGGAGGGGACAGGUCCUCCGCUACCCACGCCCUCCCUGCGCAGAAGACCCCCGCGCAGUGAGAGGAGGAGGAGACUGGGUGUCAAACAACUUUUGUGUUGGAAGAGGUUCAAGAAACGCCCACUGACGGAUUCUGCCAGCGACUGAGGCAGCCACGAUGAGAAAGGGCUGUGCAGUCAGAAAGGUUUAACAAGGCUAAUUAGCCUAGAGAGGCACCAGUUUACGCACGAGUAACUCAUACCCACUACAGCAAUCCGUCAGUCCCUGAAAGUUGCUCGUGCGCAGCAGCAGGCAGGCAGCAUCAUGAGCAAAACCGUGAAGCGAGCGCCCAGGAGGGAGCAGCUGGAGGGCAAACUCUGGUGGAGAGGAACCGAGAGUUGGAGCAGCAUGUGGCCAUUCUGACGGCACGGCUGGACGAAAGGCGGUCUCAAGAUGCACAGGUCAGGCCCACCCCCAUAGCAAGGAAGGUACCGGGACUGGUGCACAAAUUUGGAGGGAAGCUGCAGGACUAUAGUGCGUUCCGAACGGAAAUAGAGUACGCAUUGGAACUGCAGCAUGACGAUUUUGGAGACGAUGCGGCGUGGGUGGCAUAUAUUGUGGGUCACCUGCAAGAUGGGGCCAGGGAAUGGAUCAGGCCCCUUAUGGCGACGCAGAAUGCCGCCAUGCAGGACCUGAGGAAAUUCUUCCAGGCAAUGGACGCAAUGUUUUCCAGUGAUGUACAACAAAGUGUCACUAAGCGGGAACUGAUGAGCUGUAAACAGGGGAACCAGUCAGAGACUACUGGUCGCGCUUUGCCAUGAUAGUUCACCGCCUCGGGUGGCAACUGGACUCUGAACCCAUACAAAUGUUAUUUGAGGAGGGGUUGUCCCCAACGGUUAAGGAUGAGCUUUCCCGCGCACCCCACCCACAGGGGAUGGAUCAGCUGACCAAGGCUGUGCUUGCGAUUGGGGUGCGGCAGGAAGCACGGGCCCAGGAGAGGCGGGAAGGGAGAGAGCCACCCUGGCUUCUUUAGGCACCUUCCAUGUUUCCGUCUCAUUGGUAUUGCCUGAAGUUGUGCUUUUACUAUCUCCCUCUUAACAAACUCCCAGCCAUCAUGAACUCCCUUUCAUUUUAGUAUUACUGUCCAUGGGAUCUCACCCAGCACUUCCCUAAGUUUUAUGAAAUCGGCUUUUUUAAAGUCAAGAAAUUGAGUCCUGGUAUGCUUGGCUGCUCCUUUCCGCUGUAUAGUAAACUUCAGAAGAGCAUGAUCACUCGCACCUAAUGAUCCUUCCACUUCUACCCCACUAACCAGGUCAUCAACAUUGGUUAGGACCAGAUCUAAAAUGGCUGUUCCUCUUGUUGCUUCUCCCACUUUCUGGACAAUGAAGUUGUCUGCAAGGCCAGUGAGGAAUCUGUUUGACCUUAUGCUCUUGGCUGAGUUUGACAUCCAACAAAUAUCCGGGUAAUUGAAGUCCCCCAUUACUAUUAUCUCCUUCCUUUUGCAUGCUGGGCCAUCUGGUCCAGGAAGGCAUCAUCUAUGUCCUCCGUUUGGCUUGGGGAUCUAUAGUAAACUCCCACAAUGAGGUCACUGUUAUUCUUCUCUCCCUUAAUUUUGACCCAAAUGCUCUCACUUUGGCUUUGAGGUUCUAAAUCUUGGAUCUCUUCACAUGUAUACAUAUCCCUGACAUAUAACGCCACUCCUCCUCCUUUCUUGUCUGGUCUGUUUCUCUGAAAUAGAUUGUAUCCCUCCAUUAUUACAUUCCAAUGGUGGGACUUAUCCCACCAGGUUUCAGUGAUGCCUAUUAUGUCAUAUUUAGUUUGCUGUACCAAGAGCUCAAGCUCAUCUUGUUUAUUUCCCAUGCUUUGCGCAUUAGUGUACAGACACUGAAGUCCAUUAAUCAUAUCCCCGUGACUCUUAUUUAAGGAUUUUUUCCUCCCACCACUAGGUCUGCGUGCUGUUUGCUCCAUUUGGUCUAUGACAUUUGGAUGAUCAUCUUCAUCAAUUGAUAGACUCCUACCUUCAGGAGCACUGUCUAUUUCUGGGUUAGCGGAGUCUGUAACCUGAAGCGUCUGUAACCUGAGGUACCACUGUACUGCUGUUAAGGAGCAUUCUCUUCAGUACAUGAUGUGGAUAGGCUGAUGUCAGGGAAUGGCCUGGACAGGAGAGCUGGGAAAGGUCCUCUCAGUCUGCUCAGCUCCUCUCAGAAGAAGAGGAGGAUUGGGAAGUUUUGCCCCCCCAUGUCUCCAGCGGUUUCAGAAGAGUAAGGAGACAGGGCUGCUUCACAGCUGCGUGAAGAAAUGCUUAGUUAUGAGAUAGUGGAAGAGAGGGAGGGAGGAGUUAAUGAACAGCCAACCUCGCUGGGACCUCUGGAAUGAGACCUCGCUAGGAAGUCUGGAAGAUCAUCAUUCACCAAGGGCUUUUAGGUCCCUAUGUAUUCAAGAACAAAGGAUGGGAAGGAGUAAGACUCCUGGGACUUCCCAUAAACUUUCAGGAUGUUGUUGUGGAUGGAAGAGGAGAGGCUCAGAAUAGCCAAUGUCUCAGAAACAACAAGAAGUACCAACAAAAGAAGAGUGGCAGAUGAUGAUGGACUUUGCAGAAUUGGCGAAGCUGACAGGAAAAAUCCAAAACAAGCAUGAUCAAGUAUUCCAAAAGGACCGGAAUAAAUUUAUACAAUAUUUGAAAGAUUAUUGUAAGUAAUUAUCAUGACUAGCAGGGUUACCAGAAGACUUGUAAUGAGAAGUUUUCUUUGUUGUUUAGUUGUUUAGUUGUGUCCGAGUCUUCGUGACCCCAUGGACCAGAGUACUCCUGUCUUCCACUGCCUCCCACAGUUUGGUCAAACUCAUGUUGGUAGCUUCGAGAACACUGUCCAACCAUCUCGUCCUCUGUCGUCCCCUUCUCCUUGUGCCCUCAAUCUUUCCCAUCUUUUCCAAGUUUUCUACCUUUCUAUAUUUAUUUAAAUUUUGAGCUAUUUUGUAAUGAGUGUAAUUGGAAUUGGAAAACGUACAAAAUGCAAUAAUAUAAAGGUUAAUUUUGAAAGUCGUGAGACAGGAGGGAAGGAAGUCGAUAUGCUUUAAAGAGUCAGGGAGGUAAAGUGGAGGAUAAUAAUGAAGUGAAUAUAUAUUAUUAAAUGGAAAAUAAAUAAAGUAGCCAAUGUCUCUUUUUGUGUGGAGACAUGGAUUCUUUGUCUUGUAACCAGAUGCCUGAACCAAAAGACUAUAAACUGAACUGCUUCUUUUUCUUGCGUCUGAUGCUACAGGGGUGGAGAGGAUUCUCUAUGCCUGACAGCUGCUGUGUGAGUGGUCCUUUCUGUUCUGAAGACCCCCUCUAAAUCUUCUUUGGAGGGACCCCUGACCCUAUGGAACAGAUCUGAGGCACUUGUAGGAAGUACAGGG